GGUAAUGGCCGGGAUAGCUCAGGUGGUAGAGC
rnacentral:tRNA from 1 species